AUGCCCCUGGACUUCACCAAGCACUUCGUCGCGGUGCCGACGGAAUUCAAGCUGAAGAACAACACCGGCUGCUCCUGGAGGGUGACGGUGAAGCUGAUGAACGGCAGGGUGACCCUGGAUCAGGGUUGGGCCACCUACGCCGCCGUUUAUCAGAUCAAAAUCGGCUACAUGGCAACGUUCAAGCUCCUGACUCCCGACACCCUCAAGGUCAUCAUCUUCGACGAUGAUGGCAUUGAGGUGGUCAACAAGUGCGGGAAGCACGACGAAGCCUUCGCCGCCAAGGACUAG
rnacentral:rRNA from 1 species